UUUUACCCUUAAAUUACUUUCGCAAUCAUCUUUCAAUAAAUGGUUGCCUACUUUCCUUUUUUCUAGUUUUUGACUCCGAAAUUUGCGUUUAUGAAUUGAUAUGACUCUUCCUUCUCCAAAACAAGAAAAUAUAUGCAAUCUCUCAUAACUUAAAUUUUCGGAUCUAAAUGUUUGUUCCCAUUUUUGUUGCUCUUGUAAUAUAUUGGAAAAUAAGGGUUUGCACAACCACAGGUCAAGAACUCAAAGGCUAUAAAGAUUAAUCAAAGGCAGGAAGAGGAGAAGAGCUGCUUAUCGCCAAAAAAUCUUCUCUUAGUUUUUUUUUUUUUUUUUUUUUUGCAUUUUAAUUGUAUCAUAAUUGUAUUAUUAAUUUCGUUACCGAUAGUUUUGGUAUAGACUAUUUCAACCAUUGAUAAUUACGAAGUAUAUUGUUUUCUUUUGUUGUUA